ensembl:lncRNA
GCGGAAAACUGUUCCCUCUCUCCCUCCCUUCUCUCUCUCUCUCUCUCUGCCUGUGUCUCUCACUCUGUCUGUCUCUCUCUCUCUCACCCAUCACUCUCACUGUCUCUCUCGCUCCCUUUUUCUGUAAAGUCCAGUACAUUCCCAUCCAAUGGACACCAACAGGAGCACAAUGUCUUCUUUGGGAUUAGAAGGUAAGGGCAAGAAAGAGAAUGGAAAGAGAGAGAAACGAAAGAGCGAUGGAACGGCGACUGGAAGCUAAAUCCAUCACCUGCAUUUACAAAAUAGGACAGGAAGGUGAACAUAAGAAAACUCAGAGAGAGAGAGAGCGACAGAGAGAGAAAGAGAGAGAGAGCGACAGAGAGAGAGAGAGAGAGAGAGAGAGAGAGAGAAAGUUAGUGAGGAGGGAUUAGAAGGUGUGAUGGAAUAGGACGUUGCGUUUGUCACGCAGAAGACAGGCACUCGAGGACAUGAGGACACACUCCAAUAGUGGAGAGUCCAAUGCAAGGGUGUGUAAAGGUGUGAUCAACGUUCUAUCCACAAACAUGGCUAUGGACGCCAAUUUAUGAGCCACAGUCUCACAUCUCUGCAACCUCUGAUGAUCUUUUGCAUUUGUUUAGACCCCCUCUGA